UCUUUCUUUCUCUUCUUCUUUCAUUUUUUCUUUCUUUCUUUCUCUUCUUCUUUCAUCUUAUCUUUCUUCAACAACAAACAAAUCUCUCUACUAUUCCGGCAGACUAGUUCCGGCGAACCAUUUAUGGUGGACCAGUUCCGGCGGACCAGUUGCAGAUCCGGCGGACCAGUUGCAGUUCCGGCGGACCAGUUGCAGUUCCGGUGGACCAGUUCCAGUUCCGGCGGACCAGUUCCAGUUCCGGCGGACCAGUUCCAGUUCCAGCGGAAUAUAACCAGUCUCAGUAGACCAGAUCUGAUAGACGAGAUAUGACAGACCAGUUUCGAUGGACCAAUUCUGGAGUAUCAGAUCCGGCAAACCAGUUUCAGUAGAUCAUAUCAGGUGAAGAAGUUACAGCGGACCAUAACCAGUUUUGAUGGACCAGAUCUGGUGGACCAGAAUCGGUAGACCAAACUUGUCCAUCCUACAGAUUUCUUGAAACCACAAGAAAUUAAGCAGAAGAUAAAACAAAUGAUGCAUCUAUGGAAGAUAUCAUCAAUGAUCCAUCUAGAGAGUGAGAGACAGAGAGAGAGAGAGAGAGCGUUCGAUUCUAAUGGCGACGAGAGAGCAAACACAGAUGAACGCACAGAGGGUUCAAUGGCGAGGAGAGAGCAAAACGAGUCAGAUGUGAAUCGAAACCAGGACGAUGGCUCGGAUGUUUACAAGGACGAAGUUGUUCCAGAACAAAAACGGUGUGUGUUCGUGUUCCAACCAGGAGGGACGAUGAUAUAUUUGACUCAGAUUAAUGUUUUGAUGUUAGAUGAAGUGGAUUCAGAACAAUCACGGUCGUCGGCGUGUUCUUACAGUUACCACAUCAAACUGAUCGAUGAAAAGUUAUAGAUAGAUAUGGUAUGGUUUGAAGAAUGAAGAAGAUUCAGAACAAGAGGUGUGUGUGUGUGUGUGCGUGUUCCAACUAGGACUAUGACUCAGAUUUUUUCAAGGAAGUACCAAGUAGAUUCAGAAUACAAAAAGGUCGCCAGCGUGUUCUUACAAUAACAACAUCUUAGAUAUGCUAUGUUUUGAAGAAUAAAGAAGAUUCAGAACUAAACAAAAACAAACUUCGUCCUACGGAUUGACCGGCCCAAGUCAACAACAACAACAACAACAACAAUGGGAAAAAUCCUCUAAUCAAAGCAUCGUUGAUGAAUAAUAUUUGUUGGAAGUAGUGUUUUCGUGUCUCUCAGUGAUGGAUGUUCAGAGGACAUGUCGUUUCUUCUUCAACUCUCAUUGGACUUGACGAGAAAUCCACAGCAGAAAAGUUUUUGUUUUGUUGUAUGCAUGAUUCAAUUUCUUCUCAUUAUCGUUAUAAGGGAUUAUGCUGAAUUAUGGACCUAAUCGAUGGAGAUAUAUGCAUUGCUAUUGAAGUGGAACUCGACAAGGCACCAGAAUUCAAAGCAAAACUUGUGAAAAAAAGGAUGGUGAUGUUUUUUUAAAACCAGUUUCUCAAUGAGAUAAGUCAAUGGACCUUAAGAAGCUGCAAACUGCUAGAAAGAUGGUUAAUCUACUCAGGCCAAAACACCAGUCACAUCCGUCUCAAGCCAAUGGCAGUUAACUGAAGAUGAUGAAAAGGGAAAAGAGUGUUUAAGCAUAGCUAGCUCUACAAAACUGAUUCAGGAAAAUAAAGCUAUCAAAAGGCGAGAUGAUAAACUAGAGGUGUGUGGUUGUGUUCGUGUUUCAACUAGGACGAUGACUCAGAGUUUUUCAAAGAAGUACGAAGUAGAUUCAGAACAAAACUGGUGACCGGUUCUUACAUUAACGAUAUCAAAUUGAUUGGUUAAAAGAUAGGAGAUAUGCUAUGUUUUGAAGAAUGAAGAAGAUCCAGAACCAAACAAAGACGAACUUCGCCUUACGGUUCAACGUCAGUUUUUUAUUGUUUUCUUUGUUGUUUCUCAAGAUGAUGGAUACAUAUAGUUCACUCUUUCUUCGCAUGCAUAAGUUUAGGGAUGACAGGCCCAAGUAAAAAACAACAACAAUGGGAAAAAUCAUCUAAUCCAAGCAUUGUUGAUGAAUCGUAUCUGUUUGGAGUAUUGUUUUUGUGUCUUUUCAAGUGAUGGAUGUCCAGAGGACAUGGCGUUUCUUCUUCAACUUUCAUCUGAUUUGACGAGAAAGUCCACAAAGAAAAAGGGAUGAUGCUGAAUAAUGGACCCAAUCGAUGGAGGUAUAUGCUUUGUUAUUGAAGUGGAAUUCGACAAGGCAUCAGAGUUCAAAGCAAAACUUCUCAACAAAAAGGUACUUGUCAUGCCUCAUGCCAACAAUUCCCUUCCACAUGUAAUAAACAAUUGAGGCGAUAAGUCAAUAGACCAUAAAAAGCUGCAAAUUGCUAGAAAGAUGGUUUAUCUACUAAGGAAUCCGUCUGCACUCAAGCCAAAAAACCAGUCAAACCAGUCACAACUGACUCAAGAUUGUUGCUCGGGAUGCUCGGGAUUGAGGUGAUAAGCGAGAUUCACCUCGGGUUGCCCACCCGCCACUAACAAACCUUUUCUUUCCCGUUUCACCUUCUCCAGUCAUCAUUAUUGUAACUUUAGUGUUGUUGAUAAAGACGGAGAUCGACGCCACAAGAGCCAUUUCACUAGUAGUAGUAAUAGUAGUGCAUAAAGACAAAAGGAUAUUAGUAUGUUAAUCCUUUUACUUGUGUUUGUAAGCAAGUCCAAUUCUGUCACUAUUCAGCAUUCUAUCACAUCUACGCUAUCAUGGAGACGAAAUUCUUGGCAACUGUGCUAACCACGCCGAAAUCAACUAAUCCUUGUUUUAACC